UACGUAGGGUGCGAGCGUUGUCCGGAAUUAUUGGGCGUAAAGAGCUCGUAGGCGGUGUGUCACGUCGAUCGUGAAAACUUACAGCUUAACUGUGAGCGUGCGGUCGAUACGGGCAUCACUGGAGUUCGGCAGGGGAGACUGGAAUUCCUGGUGUAGCGGUGAAAUGCGUAGAUAUCGGGAGGAACACCUGUGGCGAAAGCGGCUCACUGGACCACAACUGACGCUGAGGCGCGAAAGCUAGGGGAGCAAACAGG
rnacentral:rRNA from 1 species